ensembl:lncRNA
AUGGGAGGACAGCUCAGCCUUCCAGUCCCCCGGCGUGCCACUGAGGCCUGCAGCGCAGCUGGGUCACCCUCAGAACGCCGGACCCGGAGCAAGGGCGAACACCGUGAGGCGCUGCGCUCGUGGCUUGCAUGUGGCGUCCACGUUGAAACGAAGCAGGCUCGACGCUGGAAACUCGCUUCACCCACCCGCCCCUUCGCCAUCCGCUGGCGGCGACUGCACGCCCAGAAUCCCCCGUGCGCUUCCCACGCCUCUUGGACGGCCGCCCCGGAAGCGCGCUCGCCCUGGAGGUCGCAGAACGAGCGGCCCCAGACGCAGCUGCAUCCUGGAAUUGUUCUGAGAAAUCUGGGACCUGCCCCACCUCCACCCAGGCAGGGGGCACCAGCCAGCUCCAGAGUUGCCCACCUUCCCUCACAGGCGCACAGGUCAGUGCCAGGCCAACCCCAGAGCGAGAACACCGGUGCUGGACUGUGCUGAAGCAGCGAGGUGGCCUGCACAGGGGCAGCAAGGGAGGUGUCGGACGGAGCCACCCCACGGUUCCCCUGUGAAAGUCUGCACGUCACUCAGAAAGUUGAAGCAAACGAAGCAGGGCUGGAGCUCACAGUUCACAGCUGGCCAGGCUGCACAGGGGAUGCGCCAAGGACAGUUUCCUACAACAAGUGGAAAUCUGUGUGCUGCAGGUGAGCUGGGUCCUGGAAAGUGCAGGGACCAGCCAGCAUCUCGGGACAUCAAGGGCUGUCUCCAGCCAGCAGAUUUCCCAUAAAAAGGUGCUGAACUGGGGACAAAGCUGAUUCUACAGAGCUGAGAAUCCAGACCUUCCCUGGGGACUCCCAAGGGGGCCCUGGCCACCCUCUCCACCUGCAGAGGUUUCCUGGCCCAAUAGCUCCUCCUCUGAGGGCCCCCUUCCAGCUCUCGGCCAAUGGGGGAGCCAGUUCCUCAGCUCUGGGCUUGGUGGACAGGAGACCUAGGGCUCCCUGCACCGAGCUGGGCUCAGUGUUUUCUUUUUUGUUGUUUUUUUUGAGACGGAGUCUCGCUCUGUCGCCCAGGCUGGAGUGCAGUGGCCAGAUCUCAGCUCACUGCAAGCUCCGCCUCCCGGGUUUACGCCAUUCUCCUGCCUCAGCCUCCCAAGUAGCUGGGACUACAGGCACCCGCCACCUCGCCCGGCUAGUUUUUUUGUACUUUUUUAGUAGAGACGGGGUUUCACCGUGUUCGCCAGGAUGGUCUCGAUCUCCUGACCUCGUGAUCCGCCCGUCUCGGCCUCCCAAAGUGCUGGAAUUACAGGCUUGAGCCACCGCGCCCGGCCUGGGCUCAGUGUUUUCAAGCUGAACUUGGUGCGAGGUGGCUUGGAAAGCUGGGAGCCUGCUGCGUGUCUCCUGGGGCUGCUGUGAAAAAAUGACCACACACUGGGAGCCUAAAACAACCGACAUUUAUCCUGUCACAGUUCAGGCAGCUGGAGUCCAAAAUCAGUGGUUGGGAGGGUGGCCUUCCCUCUAAAGGCUCUGGGCGGCUGCUUCCUGCCCCUUCCAGCUCUGGGCCCCUGGCAUUCCCUGGCUUGCGGCUGUACCACCCCCAACCCCAAGCUUCCUUCCUGUGACUCUGUGUCCAAAUUUUCCCUUCUUUUCUUUUUCUUUUUCUUUUUUUUUUCCCAAGAUGGAGUUUUGCUCUUGUCGCUCAGGCUGGAGUGCAACAGCAUGAUCUUGGCUCACGGCAACCUCCGCCUCCUGGGUUCAAGCAAUUCUCCUGCCUCAGCCUCCUAAGUAGCUGGGAUUACAAGCACCCACCACCCACACCCAGCUAAUUUUAUAUUUUUAGUAGAGACGAAGUUUCAUCAUGUCUUUCAGGCUGGUCUUGAACUCCUGACCUCACAUGAUCCACCUGCCUCGGCCUCCCAAAGUGCUGAGAUUACAGGCAUGAGCCACAGCACCUGGCCCUGGCCAAUUUUCCUUUUCUUUUUCUCUUUUUUUUUUUUUUGAGAUGGAGUCUUGCUCUGUUGCCCAGGCUGGAGUGCAGUGGCUCAAUCUCAGCUUACUGCAACCUCUGCCUUCCGGGUUCAAGCGAUUCUCCUGCCUCAGCCUCCUGAGUAGCUGAGACUACAGGCGCCCGUCAUCACACCGAGCUAAUUUUUGUAGUUUUCAGUAGAGACGGGGUUUCACUAUGUUGGCCAGGCUGGUCUUGAACUCCUGACCUCAAGUGGUCUGCCCGCCUCGGCCUCCCAAAGUGCUGGGAUUGCAGGCGUGAGAUAUUACACCUGGCCAAUUCUCCUUUUCUUACAAGAACACUGGUCACACUGCAUUCAGAGCCAACCCUAACCCAGUAUCGCCUCAUCCUGAUUUGAUUCUAUGAGCGCAGACCUUGCUUCCGAGCGAGGCCACUUCCUCAGGUACUGGUGGACAUGAGUCUUUGGAGACACUGCUCAACCCACAGCACUCCCCCAGCUUGAUUUCUGUGACUUGUUUUCCCCAGAGGAGGGGUGCCCUGAGAGGUCUCCACUGCCUGACCGGCUCCUUGGUGCCAAGCACUCUGCGAGGCUUCCCAGGGAACAGAGCACACAGGACCGCCCUCCUAGAAAGACCAACCAGCAUCUGAGCUCACAAUUUCCCAGCAGGGCAGUGGGGUGGAGAGAGAAGCCUGGGCUGGGCUGGGCUGGCGAAGCUUCUCUGGGGAGGGGACGUCAGAACAGGGUCUGGGGCUGACAAAAGCCCGCCCCUGGCUGGGGGCUGAGGGGGCAGGGGGCUGAGCCUGACACAUGGGGAUAGAGGACAGGCUGUGGGAGGGUGUGAACAGGAGAGUGCUUGAAGGGGUGCUGGGGACUUUGAGAGAGGGCAGCUGGCCCUGUCUGGUGGGGAAUGCUGGCCCAGAGACAGGCCAUGGCUGGGGUGGGGUUCAGAAACAGGACCACUGUCUCCCGGGCCAGGGCCCUCCCCAGCUACUACUGGCUUUCCGGCUCUUGGGGUCGGGGGCGGGUCUGUGCCAUGACCCCGCCACUGAGGCUGUGAGGAGGCUGGGGGUGCCCAGGGGCACCAAGGCACACCCCUACUCUCGCACCCAUGUGUGGGCCCGAGCACCUGCUCUGCUGCCCCAAGGAUCUGGUGAUGUUUCCCAGGCAACUGUCUCACACAGCCUAUCUGCCUGGCACUCCCGUAUCCCGUAAAUGCCACCACAUCUGACUACAGGCGGGCGUGUCUGCCUGGCAUCCAUGGGCCAGCAGGUGUGGCAGAGCACAGCCCGCUUCCUGGCUGUGUCGGAAGGCUGCCCGGGCGUUUUGGCUGUUGUUGCCAGCAGGCGAGCAUUGCCAGGGCACUGUGCUUGGGCGCCAGGCCGUUUUGCCACGUGGGAAGGGGUGGAGACAGCCCAGUGCCUUCAGCGUGUACCCAGGGUGCCUGCUGGUCACACGUCUCACUGGGAAAUUGGGAGGGUGCACUGCCAUCGGGCUGCUUAGGCCUGCCAGCCUCCGGGCCUGUCACUGCUGUCUUAGCCUGAUUUGCAGGGUGUGAGCGCUGGGCAGAGACGAUCAUCCGGGGGACUCUGAGGAUGCCAGUGGCUGGGACACUUGUUCCUUCGUGGUGGAAGGAGUUGGAGAGGGUUGGCUCCCUGACCUGCAACCAGCAGACCUCAACGGGCUUCUGAAACCAGCUCAGUGGGCUGGGGCCUGAUCCAUCAUCCAUAAAUGCGUCCUUUUAUGCCACAGAGGGUGAGGGGCCUCCUCGCCCACCGGUUUGCAGGUGUGGCAGUACGAGAUGGGCGGCUCCGAUGCCCCCACCCACUUGAACACCUUCGGCUCUGCCUGGGGUGCAAACUCCCACGGCUGAAACAUUUUUUUGUAAACAUGAAUUUCGGCUUAGCAAAAACUCAUUUCCACACUGCACGUGUCAGUUCCAACCAGAAAUUAUUUUCCAAUAAAGCAAAACUCCCUGUCACCACAGUAGCAGCAGCUGGCUCUGAAGAAGUGGAGCCUUUUCACCAGGCUCAACUUUGAAACUUCCACCAGCACCAGCACCACUGUGUCUGCUGAUAACUUUGGGACAGGCGGGACGAGGUGUGUUUGUUGGAGGCGAACACGCUUCCUUGUCUUGAGAGUCUUGAGUGGCCGGUCCCCUUCCAGGCCCUUGGCUGGCAGGCAGCUGUCGGGAGAGCUGUCAGGAGGGAGGGGAUUGGGGGUCAGGCUUCCUGACAAGUGGAGGCACCCACCAUGUGCCCAGAGCAGAGGUCACCCCAGUGCCUUUCUCUGUGGACUUAUCCCUGGCUGUAGGUCACAGGGGCCUGCCCCACUGCCCCCUCCCCCGUGGUGACAUGGGAGGAGGGGAAAUUAAUCCAGAGCAGCAGAUAAACCAGAGGGGAAGAGCCCCCAGGAGGACAACUGUGACAUGUUGCACUGCCUCUGCGUCCCCAAAGCACCAGGCCCAGAGGCCCUGCUUUCUGCCACAUGGCACUGGCAUGGGGCCCCGGCACCUCUUCCCUGGUGGCCAAGGGUAAAUGAGGCCCACUGGGGUGACUAAGACCAAAGGGGAUGGGGGCCCCCCAGCUUCGGUGCUGCAGGCUGGAGCCAGGCUCAGCUAGCCCCGAGGUCCCCUGCAGGCUCGUGCCUCCUAGCCUUGGGGCACCUGCAGUGAGAGCUUCCCAAGCAGCCCGUGCCAGCCAGGCAGCGCAGGUGUCCCAGGUCUGGGCCACUUGAGACGCCUCCCUGCUCCUGCUUUGCUCUGCCCCUCUUGGGC